UGGGGAAUAUUGCACAAUGGGCGAAAGCCUGACGCAGCGACGCCGCGUGGGGGAUGAAGGCCUUCGGGUUGUAAACCCCUUUCAGCAGGGACGAAGCGAGAGUGACGGUAGGGGCAGAAGAAGCGCCGGCCAACUACGUGCCAGCAGCCGCGGUAAGACGUAGGGCGCGAGCGUUGUCCGGAUUUAUUGGGCGUAAAGAGCGUGUAGGCGGCCAGGUAGGUCUGCUGUGAAAACUCGAGGCUUAACCUCGAGAUGUCGGCGGAAACCAUCUGGCUAGAGUCCGGAAGAGGAGAAUGGAAUUCCGGUGUAGCGGUGAAAUGCGCAGAUAUCGGGAAGAACACCCGUGGCGAAGGCGGUUCUCUGGGACGGUACUGACGCUGAGACGCGAAAGCGUGGGGAGCGAACAGGAUUAGAUACC
rnacentral:rRNA from 1 species